rnacentral:misc_RNA from 1 species
CUUUAUUCCAGCAGCCGCGGUAAUACGUUCCCGGGUCUUGUCCUUACCGCCCGUCACACCACGAGAGUUUACAACACCCGAAGUCGGUGGGGUAACCCAGCAAUGGGAGCCAGCCGCCGAAGGUGGGGUAGAUGAUUGGGGUGAAGUCGUAACAAGGUAGCCGUAUCGGAAGGUGCGGCUGGAUCACCUCCUUUCUAUGGAGACUCGGCAGCUGCGAUGCUACCAGUCAAGCGCGAAAGCGCAAGUUCAACAACUUCGGUUGUUAGACACAAACGCUUACUCACUCGUUGUCAGUUUUGAAAGAGAAAUCCUCUUUCAUGUAUGAAUUUGUUCCUUGAAAACUAGAUAGCGAAAUGAACGAUAAAGCGUAGAAUUCCUUUAAGCACCAUCUAGUCAAGAUAAUGCUUACGUAGCUAUAAAUGCUACGCAUUUAUCUUAGAUGAUGUUUCUAGAAAACCGCUGAGCAAUCAGCACAAUUCGAAAGUAGCCAUCUGGUCACCUAGAAUUUAUGGUUAAGCUAGAAAGAGCACACGGAGGAUACCUAGGCACACAGAGA